UUUUUUUUUUUUUUUUUUUUGUUUCUCUGACAUGUACUAUUUUCUCCAGACCAGGACUAAGAUCCAUUGUGACAGGCUAUCUUCCAAGUGUGAUUCUGAAUUUUUUUAUUUACAUUGUUCCCUUUUGCAUGAUUGCUAUGGCACAAAUGGCGGGUUAUAUUUCAAGGAGUAAGAAGGAUAUAAAAGCUUGUAAUAUGGUCUUCUAUUUUCUUGUGGGAAAUGCAUUCUUCUUAAGCUUAUUAUCUGGAUCCUUACUAGACCAAAUUGGGGAAUCUUUCACUCAUCCUAAAGAUUUUCCCGGUCAUCUAGCCAGUGCUGUUUCUGCCCAAGUAAGAGCAACUUUCUGGAUAUUUGCUUUCUAUUUCCAUCUCUUGUAUAGAUUGAACAUGAGACAAUACAAAGAAAGACCCUUACACUUGAAUUGGUGGUUGUAAACAUUGUUUGAUUUAAAGAAUUGUCUUGUUUAAUCCUUGCUAUACUUCUUUUGGUGUUUUGUUUCAGGCAGACUUUUUCAUGACAUACAUCUUGACAAAUGGGCUGUUUGGAUUUUCUUUAGAGAUUCUCCAACCAGGAUUAUUCAUGUGGAACUACAUAAAAUCCCACACAUGGCACCGCGGAAAGAGGAAAACUGCAUAUCUCAACUCAAUACCUUAUUACCGAAUUAUUCCUUUUGUUGCUCUCUCUAUACUGAUUGGCAUGGUAUAUGCAAUUAUCUCGCCCUUGCUUCUGCCAUUUCUAGUUGGCUACUUCCUGCUAGGCUAUGUUGUUUUCAUUAAUCAGGUUAUCUCUAUAUCCUUCAAGAAAUCAUUGAGAAUCUCAUACUUCUGAAAUUUAUCACAAUUUGCAUUCCUGUCAAUUUUCAAAUCAUGUGAUGGUCUAUUUGUUACCACUGUUAUAAACAGUUCUGAUAAUGCUUCUCAGUGCAUUUGAAGUUGGAACAAAAUCUUUUUGUGGAGUCUUGCAUAUGGAGUCAUGCUAAAAGUUGUGCCAUGACAUGCUAUGAUGAGUCUAUGCAUUACAUGAAUUCAAUAGGUUGUUUUGCUGUAAUAAAUCUAGAAUCAGAUAUGCUCAAAAAACCUGUUAUGCACCAAUGUUUUAAAAGGUAAGGAGGGCUGGGCAUUUAAUGUCUGGCUAGACAAGGCGAAAGCCAUGCCCCACAAAUUUUGAUUUUUUUUAUACAUUUAAAAAGUUAAAAAUAUAAGAAUACUAAUAUAUAUAUAUAUAUAUAUAUAUGUAUAAUAGUUACUAAUAGAAACAAAAUAUUGAUAAAGUUAAAGAAAACUACAAAACAUUAUAAGAAAAAUCACAAACCUAAAUUUAAUACACUUUUGUUAGAAAUUAUGAGAUUUCAUGACUGCAAAGUGUUCAAUUUAUAAGGCUAAUGCUCAAUUGCUUGAACCUACAACCUAUGUUCCUUCAGAAACAAAAUCAUUAAGUAUCAAAAUUUAAAGUCUAAACCAUACAUUAGUCAUCUAGUCUUAUUAGUAGAAGAUAAUAAUAUCUUGGCAUCAACAACAAGGAAAAACAGUGUAAAAAACAAAGUCAUAAAUGCUUCUACAUUGUAUUUUUUCCAAAAAUUUUGAAAGAGAAAACAGAUGAAAUCCAUUUUGAAGAUCACUAAAGAAAAAUAAUGAGAUAGGAAACUAAGAUAGGAUGAAAGAAAAACAAAUUCAAAGUUCAAACUUAAAAUAAAAAGAAAAGAAAAAGAAAAAGCACCAAAUGCCCAAACACCUAACGCCCUAAACACCAGGGUGUACGCCCUGUAGCAUGGGGCAAAUGCCCAGUAACACUUAUGCCCCAUUCAAUCGCCUUGGGGCAUUUGAGGGUCGCCCCACCCCAAGGACUCGCCCAGAAAACACCUUUGAAAACACCUAUGCACAAAAAAGAUGCAUAGGUUGCUCUUGGUUUUACGAUGUGGGCAACUGUGGCAAGAGUGCAACGGGCUGCUUCCUCUAAAGUAAGCAAAACUUUAUGCAAAUACCUUAAAUCACUAUUGUUCACAAGUUGACAACACUACAUAGGCACUGCUUUGAUUCAUCGAUGGUGGUUGUAUUUACAAAAUGUACCUUGAAUUGAAUAAACAUUAAUUAUUUGUUAAAACAUGGGUUGUGGGGUAAACAUUAGGUACUAUGUCAAAUUGUCAUCCAUGAAUUUAGUUGUAUUGGACUUACUCGACAUCCAUGAAUAGCAUGUCAAAGACAUACACUUUGAUUCAUCGAUGGUGGUUGUAUUUACAAAAUGUACCUUGAAUUGAAUAAACAUUAAUUAUUUGUUAAAACAUGGGUUGUGGGGUAAACAUUAGGUACUAUGUCAAAUUGUCGUCCAUGAAUUUAGUUGUAUUGGACUUACUCGACAUCCAAGAAUAGCAUGUCAAAGACAUACAUUAAUUUCCUGCCUUUAGUCUACACAAUGAAGCUAUUUAGCACCUGUUUUGCUACCUUUAUAAGCUUUCCUCGAGUGAGGAACAUUUGUCUAAUAUGAAUAGUUUGCUGGUGAAUGGAGAAUCUUUUUAUCCUGAGGUAGCUUUCAUCUAUUGCUUACCGAUGUCUCCUGCUUGUUUUCAUUCUCAUGGUGAUACGUCCACUUUAUACAACUAGCACAGUGACUAUAAUCUUGGAGUCAAAAUAUAUUCAUAACAGAUGUCCUGCAUUUUAUGGCAGAUUGAAGAUGUUUAUAUAACUUAUUAUGAGACAUGUGGUCAAUAUUGGCCAUGCAUUUAUCAGUACAUUCUUGUUGCUCUCAUCCUAAUGCAAAUAACUAUGGUUGGUGUCUUUGGACUGAAGUCAAAGCCCUCCGCAUCCAUUUCUACAAUUCCUCUACUUCUUCUCACUUUCAGUUUUAAUGAAUACUGCAAGAGGCGGUUUGUUCCAACAUUUCACAAAUACUCUAUGCAGGUAAGUUUGUUUUUCCAAUGCUUGUGGUAAACUAUUUGCUCUUCUUUCUUAAUUUUCAUUCUUAACUGACACGGCAACGUCCCAUUUCUUUUAAGAUUUCACCACUAUACUGCUGCCACAAUUUAAUUUUUUUUUUUAGGCUAAUGUAGAAAUGCCUCUCAUGUGAAAUUUACAUCUGCGAGGGACUUGAAUGUGAGACUGUUACUUCAGUCAUGGACAUCAAUUUAUUGCAACACUCUUAAGAAAGACCUACCUAUCCUUAAUACAGGAUAUCCAGUACAGAGGAUUAUAAUGAGGUUUGUUUGAGAACCACUAUAUAAAUGGAAGUUGUUGCUUUCAAUAACAGGCAUGAGGUUGUCUUCGGUCAUGUUUCUAUGUCACCAUAAAUUUUUCCCAGGUUGAUAAUCAGCCUGAUAAAAGAUUUCAUGGAUAACUUUCCUGCAAUUGUUACGAUAUUUUAUACAUCUAAAGUUUUGUGUAAGAAAAAACUAUCCUUGAUCGAUUAAGUUUGUCUUACAUCUUAAGCAACAGUGUUUCUGUCACAGAUUGCUAGAUUGAUACAAAAGAAGAAAUGUGAUGAGAGAAGAAGAGAAUAGAAUUAGACAGAGACAGAGAGAAGAGAGGAUUUUUGUGUAAAAUAAACAUAAAGAAGUGUGCUGUCACUUACUUUAAAUGUUAUUAAAAGAUAUCAAGCAUAACACUGUAGUACCUGAAAAAAUAUGGUAACACCCCUAACUCAAUACCCUGGAAUUAAUGGACUUACUAUCAGAAGCUGCAAUAAUUUUAUGCCAACUCAAGCUCCUCUAUAUGUAUUAUGUACCUAUUGUUUUAUGCUUCGUUCUGUCAUGUAAGACUGGGUUUUGAGCAAUUUUCAUUUAUAUUGGAAAGCUUAUGGUCACAAUUCAGACCUUGUCCGAUAAACCUUGGCCAUAUUUUUAACAAAUUUGGAAACGCAGGACAAGAAGCCCAUGAGUCAUAACCAUUGUCUGCAUCAUUGAUAGAUUGAACUCUUACAUCUUUUUUCUUGCUUCUCCAUUUGACAAGAUAUUCCUGCAAGACAAAUAUUUAAACCUUUAAAUUCUGUCUAUCAUCAAAGGACCGUAGGCAAUCUGCUUUAACGAAGGCUUUCUACUUCCAGUCUUCAUGAUUAGAGAUAAUAUUCCUUCUCUAAAGUCAGGGUUGUGAAGAUAAUGUUCCUUCUCUUAGUCCAGCUUUGAUAUCUAAUGAUCUUCAUAUAUGAGGCAUACAAAGAAUAUGCAGAUGGUAUAACUUGCAGUUGCAAAAGCUUUAUUAAUGCAGGUAAGAGAAAGAUAAAUCAGUCUCCAAUGAUCUUCACUACUCUUUUUUCACCUAAUCACCAUUAUAAGUGUCAUUUAUUUUUAUAACAAGAUCUUUAGGUGUUACUCCGACUUGCUAGUUGCCCAACUGUACUUCCUUGCCUCUUUGUAUGCAGCAACUUGAAUGCUAAGAUAUUUAUGUCUUUCAGCAUCUCUGACUUCAAUUUCCCCACCUAGGGACUUUCUGAGUAUUCCCUUAUGAAUCAUUCUGUAUUAGAAACAAAAUAUCUAACAAACAAUAAGCAUAGUAGUUUUGGCAAGUGCAUGAACAUGACACACUCUGGAUGGCUCUUUCUAAAGCAAAUCUCACCACUGGAUUUUGGAAUCUCCCAAACCUAUAGAUGGAGACUUUUAUUUACUAGUGUAAUUUGUCCUUAUGAAUUGAGCUGCAAAUCCAGGUGACAUCUUCCUUUGAUUUCCCUUUUUCUUUUUCUUUUUUAUGGGGGGGUUGGGGGUAUUGAGUUAUAAACUUCUUCCGUCCCAGAAGAUGUGUGAGUUGACUUUCAAUUAUUUUAAAGUCCAAGUUAGCAAAGAAGAAAUGGUAGCCCCCCAUCAUAAAAUUCCUUUUGCUCUUGGUGCUUCUCAGUAAUCAAAGACGUGUAGCAACCGAACUAGUAUUAAAUCUGUUAUUUGUCUAUUCAGCUCAGUAGAACAUCCAUUUGCAACUGACUGCCGCAAUGAAGUCUGCGAAGUGCCAUUUCUUUCUGUCCUCUCACCUCUAGCAUAUUCCACGUAGUAUCUAAUUGCAUCCUUUCAAGUUUCUGCAACAGGAAUACAAAGCUUAAAGAAAGCUUAAUUGGAUACUGAUGUGGUACCACAAAACCUGUUAUCUGUAAGGAGAAAACAUCAUCUCAUGUAGUGGGGGAAAAAAAGAAAAAGCCAUCAUCAGUAAUCAUUCCACAUUCCCUAAAUGCGAUAGGAAGGCAACUAGUAUUGCUAAGCAGCUGCAAGUCAAGAAACAUCGGCUCAUGUAGCAAGAGAAAAGCUGAAUUAGAUGAAGAAGUAGUUCUGGGGUGUAAUUUCCACAACUUAUUCUAUCCUCCUUUGACGAGGAGAUUACUAAAAUAUAUCCUAGUCACUCUCUCAAUUACUGCCAGCUCAUUUCAGACUGCAAGUUUCCUCUUCUCCUACUUGGCAUGAGCCUCUGUAGUAGGAGGAUUGUCAUUUUUCCUCACAAUAUAUGAACCAGGGACAAGAAGGUACUACUGGACACUGUUGUCUCUGCCUCAAUAAUAUAGUUACAUCCCUCUAAAGAUGUUUGAGAACAUAAAUAUGUGGGAGAUGAUAGGAUAUUACAUCUCUGUGUAGCAGUGUACCUAACAAAUGCAAAUUUUAAACGAUAUUGUUUCUGGUUUACCUGCCUGCAGCCAUGAAAAAAAUACACCCCACCAACCACUAGAGUUGGGCAAAGACAUUUAAGAAAAAUAGGAAUCUUAAAAUCUAACGUACUUUUAGCAAGAUAAGCAGCAUGAAGACAAUUGCCUACUCAGAUAUGAUCAAAUCUUGUAGUCAACAUAUCACUGAGCAGCCUUAAGAUGAAUUUUGUUGCGCCUGCUCUGCCUUUGUGCAGGUAUGUCUACUCAGGGACUUUUCUAGUUUCUUGGUUAUCUAAAAUGUACAUAAAAAUUUUCAGAACUUUUUGUUGAAAAAAUGUGGUGCGGGAAAGAUGUUUCAUUCAUUUACUACUAAAACUAGAUAUAUAAUAGACCUAUUAGUUAACAUUCCAUUCCCGACUUUGUUAAGAGAAGAUGCCCUACUUGUUUUAUAUCUGCACUUGAAGUUUUGCAUUGCGUCCAUUAUAGGUUAUGUUAUACUUCCUUGAAAAUCCGAUUUAAAUGCUAUUACGAAUAGUGAAGUGAUUUUCACCUAUAUCGUCUUGUUUCAGGAUGCAAAGAAAAAUGAUGAACUUGAUGAGCAAAAUGGUUUGAUGGAGGCUAACUUACAAAAUGCACUUGAUGCUUAUUGCCCUCCUUGUUUGCGACCUGUUGACUUUGAAGUUGUUGAAUCUUGCUCGACACAGCCAUUAAUAUCCCCAAAAUGACUCACGUAGUAUGCUCAUUUUCCUAUCUCGAUUCAUAACCAUCUCUUGGAUGCUUAAUUCACAAGAUACAGAAUGCAGCUGCCAUCGAUUUCCUCUGUGUAAGAACAUCUCGCUGUUAAAGAGCUUAAGUAGAGGUUGUCAAAGAAUCUGUUUGAUAUUUUAAACACAACUACAGUUCAAUCUUGUGUGAAGCGUUUCUCAGUUGUACUCGUCUACUUCAUUUUGAAGAACUGGCGUCAUUUUAGUGGAUUCUUCCCCUGCUUGCUGAUGUUUUCAGUUUCACUCGUAGUGUAAAGGUUUAUAUUUGGGACAGAAUUGAGCCACCUGAUUGAUGUUUUAACUAUAGUUCAGUAAUCUAAACUAUAAACAUACUUUCGUCAAUCAAAAUUCCGGACGUACUUUCCUUGUAGAUUAGAACUGGCAUGCAAGGGGUUGACAAUCUGGGCCCUUGAGUUUGUAAGAAUUGAGCAAAAAUUUAUCUUAUGUUGAGAAAUAUGCAUAAUAGAAUCAAACAUAACUUCAGCUUAUGCAUCCACUGGCAGCAGUUGCCGGACAUUGACACAACCGCAGAGCCAUGCAGAAAAUACUCAGCCUGAUAUAUGCAGUAGGCACUGCAAAGGACUGCGGAAAUAAAAUGCAAUUCCUACUGGUAUUCACCGUAAUCCAAAACCAAAGUUGUAGUUGUUGAGGGGACAUGAAAGCAAAUUGAUUCAUCAUACAUUGAUCUAUCAAACUCCAAACUUUACAAAACACAAAUAGGAUUGUUAGUCAUGACCAAUAGUAACACUUUGCCCCAAGGAAAAGCAACUGGGAACUGCAGUCACAAAAGAAGUAAUUUUGACAGCUCCAAGAAUUUCAGGCAACCUAUGUUCUAAGGGCAAAUAAAAAUAGGUCCUAAUAAAUAUAAUAGUAGUCUUUUUAAGUCUUAAGCUUCAAAUAGCUACACCCAUUCAUGUUUCAAAACAUUGUUUCUCUUCAAGCACUUCAAAAACUAAUACCAAGGCCAGUCUCCACAAUCACAAACGUCCCUCUUGAUGCACUUCAAAAACUAAUACCAAGGCCAAUCUUCACUAUCAUAAUCAUCUCCACUCCAGUAAGUUGAGCUAUCAGAAGGAAUAUUUGCUUUAUCUUCUUCCCUUACGUAAAGAGCUUUAUUCUCACCUUGAAGUUUAAUCCUUGCGCCCCUGCCCCAGGUAAUGAAAUUUAAGAAUCAGAGAGCAUGCAACAUAUUAAUCAAGGGCGACAAUAGCUGAUAAAAAAACGGAAAUAUCAACGAAUGUUGACCUACAAAAUUAUCAGAUUCUGUCAAAUACAUGAGUACAGAACUGCUAAGCAGGUAAUACAUAUUCACUUUGCAUUAUGCAGCACGGUGUCUACCUGCAAAAGAGUGCAAAUACUCUUCUAAUGAAAGUUUUCUAAAGGAGAACUCGAACAUUGUGAUCAGUGAUACAGUCCUUUAUUCUUUUGAGAAGAAAUUACUUUUCAAGAAUAAAAAUUAAAUCUUUUAUGCACUGCCAGUGUGUACACUUGUAGAUCUAGAUGCAUACCACAUAUGUAAAGUUUGGUGUUUAAAUUUAAAUUUAGAUCAUGUGGCAUGUGUCUAAACCUGUCAAUGUAAAAAAGAUUAAUCCAAGAAAAAAACUACCAUUCAAAAAAAGAUACAGAAAACGAUUGAGUUAUUACAUGACCGCAAUAUGAUAGAUAUCUAUAACCAUGCAUAUUCUUCUGUUUCUUAUCAGCUAGAAUGCAAAAGCGUUUAGAAAGAGUUCAAACUAAGCAGUAGGAGAUGCUCUGGUAAUGAAAGUUAAUACGUCAAUCACGCAAAUAGAACAGUUCUAGUUGAAAGUUUUCAAGGUAUCAAUCUGCAUAAAGUACAUUGCCCUGAAUGAUCAUUCAGGAUCAGAAGAAUGACAAAAAGGACAACUUUCUGAAUCCAGAGACGUGUCAUUUUGACUAUAUAAUUUGAUUUAUCAGAAGCCAAAUCUAAAUCACAAAAUCUAAGAACAAACUGUGGCCAUGACAUACUUCUGCCAAAUAUGAAGAUCAGUUCCAUGAUUUGGUAAAUCAUGAUAUAGGAACAUUCCUAUUUGUCAUCAACAGGCACACACACACACAAAAAAAAAAAUAAAGUAGUUGCCAAUUACUUUGUCAUAUUCAUGAUUUUAACGGACAGAUGCUAGACUAUUUUCUCUUAAUUUUAUUUUCUAUUUUCAUCUGUCUUCUUCCUUUCAUUGGUAGAACAGUAUAAAGCAUGGAACUAGAUAGAACGAGUAAGAAACAAUCAUAGACAUGCCAAGAAUAAAUUUAUUGUUACACAAGUAACAUCAGAAGGGUGGCAUUGCAUCUAGAUUUUUGAGUUUCAACAACAAUAAAAAGAAAGUUGCUACCUCUCAAUUCAGCUAGAAGUCUGACAUCUACAAGUCCCUCAAUUUGGUGGAACUAAUUAGCAGCACAUUUUGGAUGGCUACCAUGACUGCUCUUCAGAGGCAUCAUUAUUGGCAAAUUUCAAAAUUUAUAUAUUUCACCACAGCCAGGCUGAGAAUAUACUUUACAAACACAAAAACCAAAGACAGAUGAUAUAUAAAAUCUGAUGUAAGAUCACAUAUAGGCAUCCUUUAAGUUAAUCAGUCACCUGAUAAACUUACAAUUAAGUUGAAGUUGCUUCUAUCAAAAACAAUGCUCAUUUUUUCAAAGUGAAACAAUAGGACAAAUGCACUUAUAUGAAACUAUAGUUUCCAACUUGUGCUCAGAAACUCACAAGGUUCCGUCUACCUAUCUCCUGACAGCCUCUGCCACUACACCAUGUCAAAAUUCACUUGACACAUCUAAGUAGCUAUUACAUACAUAAACAAACAGCUCUUUUAUUUUACUAACUCUGUUGUGACACUUCAAACUGAAUAACACUAGCCACCUGGAUAUUCGACUUGAAGCGGAUUCCCCAUUCUACAGAGUGUCAGAAAUAUCAAAAUCAUCAAAUACACAUAAUUAUGUAGAUACUAAACAAACAGAAGUGUGAAAGAGCAGGUAUUCUCAUGUUCUGAGAGAUAAUAAAAGUAUAUCAAAAGGAACGACAAAUUAUUAACCAAAAACAUAUAUGAAUCAACAUCUUUAAUGUAUAGUUGUCUGCCAAAAAAUGAAAUUCAGGUAGUUUCAAUAGGAAAUCAAACAACUAGAUUUCUUUAUGGAAAACAGAAAGAAGGCACACUCUUGGGAAAAAAAAAAGAGAAUUAAUGGUACUUAAAUUGACAUGUACAAAUGAAUCUCAUGUAUAUAAGGAAAUUAAUGCACCCUUACAAUGAACGGAUGUUGAACACCCUUAUAUUUUCUUGCACAGCUUCCUUGAAUGAGAAAAAGCUUGGAAUCAGAGAAACAGCUUCACAUUUCGAUCUAGUCCCACAAACUUUAAAAUAACUGCGUUCUUUGCUCUUCAGAUCAUAAUGUAUCAACAUAUUCUUGGGGUAAUGAAAAAUCAACAGUGAUCCACAUCUCAGGUAAUUAAUCGGAUGGUACAUAUAAUUAUGCUCCCAUGCUGACUUUCGGAUCUUAGCCAAUUUAGUCCAAGAAUCUUGAACACCAUACUUCUCCAUCACCCAGAAGUUAAUUGAAUUAUGACUAGCAUGGCAUAAAAAUAAAUCACCUCUUAACACACCCAUGCUCAUAUGUCGUACAUCACACAAGGCAAACUCAAAAUUCAAUAUCUCAAACAUUGGUGGUGGGAAGUUCUUGAAGCACUCCUGAGUAAAGUCAAAGGAAAGAAUGAUGGUUGAACUGUCCCAGCCCUCAUGCAACCAGUGAAGAUUUCCAUUCAAGUAAGUUGGUGAUGUUAAUUUACCAUAAUAAGAAGGUGCAUACCCAACAUUUUCCCAAGAUUGUGUGCCAAGUGUGUGUAUUUCAGCCAUUCUACUUGAAUACAUUUCUCUCUGUGCAAUAGGGCAAUCAAUAGCCCUCUUAACCCCCGUAUCAAAUAUUCUGAUCACUUUAUACAGGUUGGUAUUUGGACAAAAGCCAAAUCCACAAUCCACAAAGUUUUCAUAAGCCUUAUCACCCUCUGGAAUUUCUACAUAUUCACCAGUGACAGGAUUGCAUACAGCCACAGGUUCAUUAGCUGAGGGUUCAGACAAACAGAGGAAUCCAUUGUAAGAGUUCACAAUCCUGAACUUUUGAUCUGUGAGUUUCAGUCUAACACGACGCUUCUUCUUCACAGCAUCCAUUUGAAGUGCGAUUAGAGGAUUGCGUAAAGGGAUCCUCAGUUUGACAUCAAGACUUAAAUGAAGUUCUUUAUCACAUCCCAGACAAGACUUGAGAUCCAUUUCAGACGGAUCAAUCAGAUAAAGCGUUCUCGGCACACAUGAACUGUCCAAAUUCCUGAUUAGAAGGCUAGUCUGCGAUCUUGCAUAGUGUAUCCCAGCAAAGUGAGGGCUCAAGAUCAGGCGGCGCCAGGCUUUGCAAGUGCACUUGCAAACAAGAAUUCCCUUGAGAGGCAACCUUAGGAGAAUAUCAAUAAAGAUAUACUCAGGAAUAUCCAUUAUGGAAGCACUAAAAGUUCGACUUUGAUCAUCUGCUCCUUUAAUGCCCUUCUCAAUCUCUGCUUCCACUGAGUUCCUCCUCCUUUUCAAAUCCAUCUCUAAUAUCUGCAAUUCAAUCCAACAAGUAAAAAGCAAAACGAACGAAAAAAAUGCAAUAUCAGCAGCCCUUUUCAAUGAAAAACUAAUUGCAAAAUUCUCUGUAGAUUAAAACUCACACAUUUAUAAAAAAAAGAGAAUAGAACUUCAAUUUAAGCCAAAUUUCUCUUAACCAUAGCCAUAAAUCUAUAUCUAUAAUUGUUGAACUUGAACAAGAUUACUAUAUAAAAUUAAUAGAUCAAAAGGGAUGAUGGGGGAAGACAGGAGUCACCUUGAAGGAGGAAUUGUGAUCAGAGUUGCAUGGAGAAGUAACUGAUUUGAUAUGUAUCACAAUUGAACCAAGUUUUAUGGUAGUAAAAUUUGGCGGGAAGUUUUCCGGGGGUUGAAAUGGAACAAUGGCGGGAAUUUUGGAUGGCCAGUAACUGACCGACUGAUAGAUUGACAUGACUCUUUGCAAACGGCUGCGGGGCAAUCAUUUCAGAAAGAGGCAGUAAUAGUGAUUUUGCUUUGGUUUUUGGAUCGAUUUUAUAAUUUUUCUGAGUAAAUUCAUAUUCAUUAACCACCAAUUUUGCUCAAAUAUGACGACACGAAAUGGGGUGUUUGCCACUGGCCCACUUCUUUUAUAGUAGUAAAUGUUUUGCUGAUUAAUAAUUGGCAAAUAUAUUGAGAAUAUAUUGCUCCGUUUGAAUUAGUUAUUUUUGAAGAUGUUUUUGAAAUAUUUUACUGUAACAAUGUAAUUAAAAAUUUUUUAAUGUAAAUGAGGUUGGUUUUUAGACUGUUUUUGGUGUUUUUUAAAUUAUUUUUGAUAUUUUUGAGAUUAUUUUUUUUUGCGUAUUGCUGUAACAUUAUAUAUGAAAAUCUUGUUUUUCAAAAAAUGAUCAAUCCAAAUGCAAAAAAAUUCCAAUAUCUAUACUAUAUAUCUAUGUUACAUAUAAAAGGAGAGAUGAGGGAUUGCUGUAAAUUAUUUGUGUCAUUCAUGCUAUCUAUCUGUACGACCAACAAUAAACAGAAAGAGUUGACACUUGAGGUAAACAUUUUGUGUCAUUUUUUAAACUUUCAAUUUUGGCUUUAAAAAAAAAUUUAUCCCAACCACCCAAUCAUAACUCUCUUAAGUAGUGUAACUAUCGAAUUAACUAUAACUAUAUUAAAGAAAAAAUUACUAAUAAAUUACAAAUUUUUCAUGAAAAAUUAUAUAAAAUUUUGUAAAAACAAUAUUAAUAUAUUCUUCAAACUAAUAAUUAUUUCCAAACUGCACAUACAUUAAGUGUGCCCUUAAUACUAAUAUAUAGAUAUUUAUACUAUAUAUAAAGGGAAAGGGAGGGAUUGGUGUAAACUUUUUGUGUCACUUUAUGUUUUUUCGAGUUUAUCCUCAUGAAUUUCACUUAUUACUUUACUGUCUAAAUAUAAAUUGUUAAAAUAACUACCUAUAGAUAUUUUUAACCAUAACUCAUCUAAACACAUCUUGACAAAAUGAUUGACUCUAAACAUUGUAACUACUAAAGUAACCAUUAUUUGAUGAAGAAAAAAAAAGGUUAAAAUACCACCAUUUUCUUUAGUACUUAAAAUUUUAUAUAAAAUUAAUUUGUAAAAAAGCAUUUCUGAAUUGCAGACACUUUGCGUGUGUAAAAUUGUUUCUGAGAGAGAAGGCAUUGGUAUAAGCUAUUUGUCACUUUUUCUAUUUACUAUUUUAUCCUCUAAAUACAUUAAAACCUCUACAAAUUAAUACCCUUGGGACCAUGCAAAUUCUAUUAAUUUAAAAGGUAUUAUAUAACCAAUAAAUUAAUAAUUUAUUAAUUUAUUGAGUGUAUUUACAAUUUUAUCUAAGGAAUAUAAACCAAUCCAUAUCUACCCAUAUCCACUUGAUUUGUAAGUAUAAUUUAAUUCUAUUAAUAUUUUCAAUUACGUAGUAAUUGAUUUCAUUUUUCUAUUACCAAGAUGUCAAAAAGAUUUAGGAAUACUAAAAGAUAGAUGCCAAACAGAUAGAUAUCCAUAUGCACGUGGGAAUACUCACUCACAUAAUGCCUUGCACAUUUGUAGUUAGUCAUGUUUGAUUUUGGAUGAGAUUCAAUUAGAUUUAAAUUUUAAGAAAAAUAUAGACUCAUAUUUUAGAAAAGUAUAAUCUAUAAUUUGAGUGUAUUAUUAAUUUAAGAUAUGAAUGGAACCAAAAGACUAUAUAAGGUUUUCAAAAAAAUUUAUUAUCUUACUAUUUUAUCAAAAUUAUUAAUUUAGCUCGUUAGCCCAAGUGGGAACUAGAAAAAAUUAUUAUGUAAUAGAGGUUAUUAAUUUAUCGACUAUUAUUUCAUGGAGGUUUUAUUGUAAAGGACAAAAUGGUACCAUAAUUUGCCAAAAAUAAACACACAAAUAUAUACAUGCAUCCUCAUUUUUCAAAAUUAAUAAUAAAGGGAGAGAGAGGGGUUGGUGUAAACUUUUUUGUGUCACUUUAUGUUCUUUCAACUUUAACCCCAUGAAAUUCACUUAUUACUUUACUAUCUAAAUAUAAAUUGCUAAAAUAACUACCUACAACUAUUUUUAAUUGUAACUAAUCUAAACACCUCUUGACAAAAUGAAUGACUAUAUAUAUAUAUAUAUAUAUAUAUAUAUAUAUCUGUUAACGUUUGUGGAAAAAAAAAAGACAAAAUGAAUGACUAUAAAUAUGGUAACUACUAAAGUAACCAUUAUUUGAUGAGAAAAAAAGGUUAAAAUACCACCAUUUACUUUAGCACUUAAAAUCUUAUAUAAAAUUAAUUCAUAAAAAAGCAUUUCUGAAUUGCACACACAUCGCAUUUGUGAAAUUGUUUCUGAGAGAGGAGCGAUUGGUGUAAACUAUUCGUCACAUUUGAUAUUUCCUAUUUUAUCCUCCAAAUAAAGGACAAAAUGGUACCAUGAUUUCCCUAAGAUAUAUACAUAUAUACAUACAUAGGGUGUGCUAUUUCCUGGACUUGAUCAUUACUAGUGUCAUUAAAGUUUUCAUGCUUCACUUCCAAAGGUAACAAAAUUUGUUAGCACGGUUUGGACUUUCUAUGGGUUAUCUGACAGUAGGUUUUUUGUUACAUUUUUAUGAAUUGUAUUCCUAUUUCACUUGAAUUGACACAUAGUCGCAUAUAAUAAUGACAACAUGUCCAAGUUUUGGGCUAACUAUUGUUGGUAAUUCAUCUAUUAGUUUACCAAUCAUGGAUAUUAAACCCCUAAUCCUGCGCUUGGUACGUCAAAAUGUCCAAAAUGGAAAAGUUUUUCUGCCCAACUGAAUGCCUUUAUAAUAAGAAUGAUUUGUAAAAGAAGUUAUCAUUUUACUGACGGAUAGACAAGGCAGAAUGGAAUAUCCAUUCUAUUUUAAUGUUUGUUAUAAUUAAUAUCUAGAUAUUAGAUUGAAAUAAAUACAAAUUUCACUUAGUUUCUCUAAAUUAUAUUAUAGGGCAUUACAUAUUUUCACUCUUGUUAUGUUCAUUUUAGGUAAGCUAUUUGUUUACUAACUUAUUAGAAAAGUAAAUUACAUAGAAUUAAUCAUUCACUUUCUCUCAUUAUUACGUUUUCAAUGUCUAUAUCAUAUGAAAUAAAAACUAAUACAUAUGUGCAAAAGUUUAGAAAAAUAACAUCUUAAAAUUAAUAGAGGAAAAAAAUUUAAAAAUAACUAGAAUCAUUUUUAAAAGAUUAUGGUUAAUCAUUGUCUAAACGAACAAAUAGCUUAAUAUUGGAUAAUAGUACAAAAAGGUAUAUGCCUAAUAGUUGACAAUCGUAUAAGGAGAAAAAUAAGGAUAAACUUGACCCAAAUAAUUUUCAAUAUUCCAAAAUAAACCUAGAAAGUCCUCACGAUUCUGGGAGGGAUAGAGUUUCUAAGAAAAAGUAGGAAUGAGUUUUCUAUAGAAAAAGCGCUUUCCAAUUCAAAUGUUCAUAGGCUCGUAGCAAACUUGGAAUGGAUAAGUUAGAAAGGUUUUUCUAUUUUAGACAACCCCUGUGUACCAAAUGAGGCUUAAAGGCAAAAAGUAAUAAAUAUCUCUUUCCUCAUCUCCGGGCCAAAUUUUUCUCCUCACUGCCACUUUGGCAUGAGGUCUUCUGUUACAUUUUUGCUAUUACACCUCUGUAUACACUCUUUUUAAUUGACUAGGAGGGAUUCACCGCGCGAUGCGCGGUGGAUAAAUGCCCAAUUAUAUUCACUAAUUUUACAAAUUAUUAUAAAUGUGAAUGACAGACAAAAUAUUCAAAGUUGUGUUCUUAAAAAGUAUAUAAUUAGUUUAAAAUUAUUAAAAAUAUAAAGUUCAAAAGAUGAAAAUUAUAAUACAAUACCUUUAAAAGAUACAAUAGAGCAUGAGAAAGACAUGAUAAGGACAUAUACUAUUGGCCAUUGACCCAACAUACAAAUUAUAUUUUGGUAUCCUCAAUAUUUACAAAUGAAAUCUCAUACUUAAAAGCAACUAUAUUAACAUAUUUGCAUUACUCGAUAUAAUUCCAAACUGAUUCUUAAGAUAUUCUUGUCUUUUGAGUUUUGAGGAAAGCAACCUCAAAACUUCUAUACACUUUUGCGGCCAGAGUAAUUUUACAACAUUAUGGGAUAAGGCCAAUCAAAAGGAAAAAAAAAAAUCCUGCAAGAAGCACCAAAGAUAUAUAUCAUAAAGGAACAUUUUUAUUUAUUUAUUUUUUUUGAUACAUUGGAAGAGAUCAUAACCUCUUAAAUAGAAACAAAAUAAUGAUAUACAACUCCUAACACAUCCAUUUCUAACAAAUCUCGCAUCUCUCGGGAACUUAUAACCCAGAUGGAUCAUAUGCUGCAUUUAGCCAACCAAACUACACAUUGAUUGCGCUCCUGCCAAAUAUGGCUCAGCUAGCAGUCCCAACUUCUUUGCUUCAACUCUCGAAUGUGAAUAUAACCACAAUUUACAAAAAUCACAAAAAACAUAUAACCACAAUUUAUCCCCUCUGUCCACUCCGACUAAAGGUACUAUAACUACAAUUUUCCUCUUCUACAAGAAACAUAAAUUAAUAAACCUAAUACGAAACAAUAGCAAUUAAAAAGCUGUAAAUAUAGCAAGUAGGACAAAUAUGCUAGGGACCAGAAUCAUUUUCUUGGACUCAGGAUCUAUUGAAACUAAGACAAAUAUAGCAAAGGCCAUCCUCAUUUCACCAGAUUCUAUAACAACCAAUCUAACAAAUUUCACAUUUUCUUUUCUGCUUUGCUCCAAAUGUUUACUUUGCAACCCCACAAACACAAAAUCAUUUUUUUUUCUAUUUUUUUCACUUGAGGAAAAAGGCUUUAGAGAAAACAGCAGAUUGAAAAAUAACAGAUAGAAACAUUAAGUAAACAAAUAAACAGAAUAAAGAAAAUACAAGGAAAAAAAAUAGUUAAGCAAAGCAAACAAAAGCAAGAAUUACAAGAGAUGAGGGAAAACCACGAAAGAGAAUGAAAGCAAAGUUCCAAUUUUUGGACUUGCAAUAUCACAAAAAAUAAACAGAUUAGAUAGGCCAAAAAUAUCUUUGAGAGGAAAAAAUCAUAAAAGAACUUUCUCAAAUUUAUUAAAUGCAUUUUGGAAAAAAAAUUAAGAUUCCAAUAUGGCAAAUAUCCCAAAAAAAUUAGGCCCAAGAUGGAAACAGAAAGCUCAAUUUGUAUUCUAUAAAAUGAUAACCAAAUAGAAUGCACGUUAUUAAAGGGAAAAAUUUUAUAGAACCUGAUGCUGGAAGAAAUUUCCAAUUUUUUGCACCUGCAACAUAUGUAUACAAAUUAAUACACAAAAAUUAGACUACUAAACCCCACAAAAAAACCAAAAGGCUAGAGAAGUACUGAGAAAGAAGAAGAAAUUACAAUGCAAAAAAUCAUGCGUCGCACACAACAUCCGUUCACAGCCAUUUUAUAUGACUCGAUUAGGUUGAAAAUCCAUGUUUUUCUUUUAGUCUGCUUAUUUUUCUUCUCAUCUUCUACUUUUGAUCGGGAGAAAGAUUUGAAGAAACCAACAAUAAAAAAAAGCAUAGCAAACUUUACCAUGAUAGCUAUAUUAUUAACCUUCCACAUCAUUGUUUUGCUAUUUUAACUUCGUUAUCUUUUGUUCUAACCCCCAAGUAACUUUUUAUUACUGAUUUUUUUUCUUCAACAACUGUGAUAGCAAAAGCUGACCAAACUUCUCAAUCAAGUGUUAGAACAUGCUUGAACACAAUCACAGGCAUAGAAGUAGAAGAUAAAGACAACUAAAUCACUUAGCUUUCCCCUUCAUUCUUUGCUAAUUCUCCCCCUUUAGUUAGAAAAUUACACAAAGAACUUGCAUGCAUAACCAAUAAUAAAACAAAAUGUUUCCAUAGUUUACGAUCAAUGCCAAAGUAAUGCAAUAGUAGUUUCAUUAGAAAUGAUUUGACCUUUUUUAUUUGACAAAAAUUUAAAGACUCUAAUUCUUUGCGAGCCUUAGCCCAUUUUAUUCUUUGCGAGCCUUAGCCCAUUUUAUUCUUAAGCACAUUUAUUUUGUUAUCGCUAUGUCACCUUAAGUUGAAUCACAAUUUUCAUUCUCAAGGUGAAUUGUGAAAAAUCUUUUGCCAAUUAAAAGAAAGUCACCACCAGAAAAAUAACAAUACCUAACCAUCUAAAGUGCAAAUGAGUGAAACUCUUUUAUUACCAGAAGUACUAAAAGCAUAUUUAAGAAAAUAAUAGAAGACAAAACGCUUAAAUCCAAACAACACUUCUGCCUUAUAGAAAGGGAAAAUUCAACCAUUCAUUUCACAAGCACAAAAUGAGACUUAUCAUUAAUUUUUUGAAGUCAAGCAUAUCCCAUGAAAUUAUCAUCAAAGUCAGGCCCCUCUAGGCUGUAAACAAUUCCAGUUAACAACUUACAUAUUGAAAGGUAAACCUAUCAAGGACAAAAAAUCUCACUUCUAGUUUUUAAAAAGGAGUUAAAGAUUAAAAAAAAUAAAGCAAGAUUUGCCCCAGUGGAAUAAACCACUGACUAUUAGCAAGCAUCAAAUGCAAAGCAUUAUUUAUUGUCUUCAUUCAAAUGAAUUCAUUGAAAUUAACAGACAUGCAACUUGGCAAACUAAAAUCGAACACCCAAUUAUUAGCAAAUACAUGAAUGUCAAUGGUUUUAAUAAUCCGUGCACAAGUUGAGACUUGAAAAUUUAGAAGAAGUAGAGUCCUAUUUCAUAUCACUUAGACCAUAUUUAACAUAAUACCAAAAGCAUAUAAUUAAAUACAAAUUCCUGAUAAUACAUUGUUGCAGUGGACAAACAAAACACAUACAUGUUGUAAAAGGCCCCCAAUUUCUUGAUAACUAUUAAAGAACAAAAAGUAUGACAAAAAGUACCUUAACUAACUGCCGAAUGUUAGAUAACAAAUCAUAAUGUUCUGCAGCUCAGUAUAGAGAACAUGACAAUGCAUAUUGAAUUAGGUAAAUUGGAAAAAAGAGCAAAAACUAUUUCUUGAUAACUAUUAAACAAAAAGUAUGAUGGAAAAUACCUUAACUAACUGCCGAAUGUUAGAUAACAAAUCAUAAUGUUCCGGAGCUCUGUAUAGAGAACCUGACAAUGCAUAUUGAAUUAGGUAAAUUGGAAAAAAGAGAUAAAAAAGGUAAAAUCAUCUAUUGAAUGUAUGUGAUAAAUGAGGUGGAAAUAAAAAGCCACCUUAAAAGGCAAUAAUACAUAUUAGUGUAUAACACAAAUAUUUGUUAGAGACAUUCAACAAAAUAAAGAUCAGUUAAAAAAAGGAUUAAACUUGGUUGUCCAGACUCCUCGAGCCCAUGGUCAAAAGCGAGAAAUUCAGGAGAGAACUCUUGCAAAAACAUUUCUUUGGAGGAAAAUCACGUAGACCGGGCAACCAAACUAUGGAAAAUAAAGGCCUAAACAAAAGAAGAAGAGAAAUACACCCACUUUAUCACCUCAUGUGCACUGAUGUCGGAGGUGGAAAAAAGGAAGCCUACCAUAACCUCCGUGCAGAAGAAUUAGUAAGCGUUACUGGCCAAAUGAUGAUACAGAGAAUACUAUAAAAUAGAGGAAAGUACCUUGAGAAAUUUUAGAGGCUUUAUCACAUAACAAUCUCCACUUUUCUUUUUUCAAAACUACAAUAGAAGAAGAGAUAACAUAAGCAUAUAUAGCUCUCCUUUUUUAUUAGCAAGUGAAGAACAUGAGAAGAGGAAGAGGAAAUUCAUAGAUAGAGGAACAAAGCCUUUCGGUUAAAAGUCAAGAAAGUGGGUUAGAGUGGACAAUUUUUUUCCCCAAUUUUAGCUACUAUAUAACAAAUUAAUGGUUUUAGCAUUCUAUCAAACAUUUGAUAAAUAAAAUAUGAUUGUAUCAUUACAGUACUUUAGAACAAAAAGGGGGAAAAAUAAGAAGAAAAAAAAAAGCAACCCUACGUACGAAAAAACACAAAAGGGACAGACCCAUGAAAUACACAAAUGAGUCCCAACAUCUAGUGAGGAUUUAUAAAUUUUCAAUAUAAAAGGCUCAAGAAAACAUGUCAGAAAACUAAACUUUCCAAGACACAACUAAGAGGAUAAACACUUCAUGAUAACCAAAAUUGAAACUUAAUCUAAAAGGUCAUAAAAACAAAUAAAUAAAUGAAAAAAAAUCCAAAGCAAUCUCUUUUGUAGAGAAAAAAAAUAAAGAAAAGCAGAGUAUAAACUGUAAUCACAUAUAAGCGAAUAGAAGAAGGCUGGCUCAAAAUAUUCACCAAUAUUAUGCAAAACAGGCUGGGAAUAAUGUUGAUCCAUACUACCACAUUAUUACUUUUUUGAGAGAAGCAAAGAAAAUUCCAAAUUUUGGACCUGCAACAUCACAAAAAUAUACAAACUAUAAUCAAACAUGGGCAAAAAACUUUUUAAAUCCACCAGAAAGAACUUACUCAAAUUUGUUAAAUGCAUAAAAGAUGGAAAUAAGGCAAAAGUAAGGGGAGGAUACAGCAAAAAUAAGUCUUUUUUUAGAAAAUAACCCUAUAGAACUUACCUUUAAAAAAGAGGAAAAAACUUAGAAAAAAGCAUGAGAAUGGCGGAGGUAAUCUGCAAAUUUCGUAACUACGCAUCAAAACAUCACAAAAAGGGCAAAAAGGAAAUUAAAAAUGAAAGGGAAAAAAACACAAAAAGCUAGAGAAGCUUUGGAAAAAGAAAGAAAAAGAGAUUUUGAACUGAAGCAAAAAAACCCAACCAGAUCUUUGGUUUUGUUGUUGUCGAUAAGAGAAAACGAAGGAUAAGAGAGGAAAAAACUUACAAAAUAGCAUGACGACGAUGGAGAAAGUCUCCAAAUUUCAUACCUGCAACAUCGCAAUAUCACAAAAGAAAAAAAAUUAGACAUCUAAACCCGCAAAAAAGGGGAAAAGAAAAAGAUUAGAGAAGCUCUGGAAAGAGGGAGGAAGAGAUUUUGAAGUAAAAAAUACCCACCAUAUCUUUGGUUUUUGCUAUUGUCGAUCGGAAAAAUGAAGGAUAAGAGAGGGAAAAUGGCAUCCUUAGUGAUAGAGAACAGGAACAACAAGAGAUGAAGAGGGCUUUCUGGGCGAGAGAGACGGACAUUGAAAGAAGGAGAGGAGGAAAGGUAUUCUUCUGAGUUCUGAUGUCUCUCUUUCUCGAGCCCAGCGCCUCACCAAAUCCGAAAGCAACAAAUUAAUGGUAGAAGAUAAAUGAGUCACGUGCACACCAAGAGAGAAUCUUGGCAAAUCUUUUGCCUCUCUGUCUAUUUAGUUGAUGUUAUAAUAAUAAAAAAAAAACUAAAUCACCACCAGAGAAUAAUCGUUAUUCUCCAGCGAAUAGCGAUUGGCCACAUCAGCGGUUCAACCACUCCAAGCAAACAAAGAAACAAAACAAUCGGCAGACGUCCAAUUCACACGAGGGAAUUCACACGGAUGGACGACCAUCAAUUGGCCAAUGGCAACGCGCCAUGUCAGCAAUUGGAACUCAAUUGGAAACAACGGCAUUCGCGCAUAGACUAGAUAUGUUAAUAAGUGUCCCAUUAGAUAAUGACCAAGAAUCUACAGUUUUAGAGAAUACUCGUUCAGUAUUUAGUAUUUACCUGUUAAGUCAUCGACAACAUAAUAGAAUGACUCGAUAAGGAUAGCAGCGGGGGUGGCUACCCAUAGGGGGAAAAAAGAGGCGGGCGAAUAUCUGGGGUGGGGGUAUUUUCUCUUCCCGUCUAAGAUUAAACAUAAAUAUCCAAACCUUUAAUUAAAAUAACUUUUAACUAAAUGGUCCUAUCCUCACUCUCCUAAAACAAGAGAACAUUGUUUUUAUUAAUUUAACUUUGACAAAUAGGUCGAUGGUGAAGUAAGCCUCCCCAUCUUGGAAACAAGAAAAAAAUGGUAAAUAUUUUAUCAUGUAUUUAUUCAUUUUUCAACAAAAAUUUUAUUUGUUGUAGAAUAAAAAAAAUAUUACGAUUUUUAGAGAAAUUCAGUAACUAGAUAAAAUAUGGAAGAAAAAAUUGUUUUCAUGACCCUACAAAUCUUAUCAAUUCUAUUCUACUUAAUUCUUCUCUCAUAGCAUAGCCACAUAUCUCUUCAAGCUAACAAAUGGAAAACCUUUCUCUCCAUACAUGAAUUCACUUUUCAAAAUACCUAAAAAAAGAUAUCUUUUCCUCAACAAUAUUUGCUCUGUUUGGAUUGGUCAUUUUUUCAAAAACAAAUUUUUCAAAUACAAUGUUACAGUAAUACACAAUAAUUCAAAAAAUAUCUCAUCCAUACAAUAUAUCAAAAAUUUCAAAAAAUUUUUAUGUAAAAAUUUUUCAUAUACACUGCUACAGUAAGUUUUUUUAAUAACACCCCAAAAAACAGCUAAUCCAAAAGGAGCUAAUGUCUUUGCCAUUUCUUGACUAGGAAAUUUUUUUUUAUAUAAAUAGAGUCCUGUUCUACAUGUCAAUUAAGAUGACAAAAAAAGAAUCAACUGUUCAACUAUUCAAAUUUGUAUCAUAAGUUGAUAGGCUAUAUAUACACAUAUACAUAUACAUAUACAUAUACAUAUACAUAUACAAAUACAUACAUAUAUAUAUAUAUAUGCAUACAUAUAUCUAUGUAUGUAUAUAUGUAUGAAUGAAUCUAUAUAUGUUUGUUUUAUAUAGACACACAUACAUCAUGUAUAUUGAAUUGGGGAUACAUAAAUGAUAAAAUCAUAGUGGAUUGGAGAAAAUAGGUGUCUCCUAUAGAAGAUGGACAAGAAAUAAAGGUAAAGCACUUUUUCAAGAUUGGAAUUGGUGUCUAAUGCAUUCGACCACCACAUGCAUGCAUGCAUACAUACAUACAUAUAUAAAUGAUAUAUAUAUAUAUAUAUAUAUAUGUAUGUAUGUAUGUAUAUAUACAUAUAUAUCAUAAAACGUCAAUUCUUUAUAUGAUAGAUUGCUAACUUCAUUAUUUUAAUUUUCUGCGAAGUGGACAUUCUAUCUACAUGCCACAUGAGUUUUUUAGUUUAUUUUUUUUUUGUGUGGUACUAAUUGAUUACAAUCAUUUUUUCACAUUCUUAUUUAUGGUAAAUUGUAACCUAUCUAUGAAUAACUUGCAUUUUAUACGUUCAUAUUAUUUAUGUGAUUGAUUUUUUUUUUUUAAAAAAAUCAACUCUUCCCUUUCAUUUUUUUAAUUAAUUUCAAUCAUGUUCUGACCUCCUGUAAUUGGUUUGAUCAUUUAUUACCAUUGUUCCUUUUAUCUAAUAACAAUUAAUUAGAACCCUUUUUGGUCUUUCUCAUUUAUGGUAAAUUUCUAUCAAUCUAUUAAUAACCUGUCUUACACACGUUUGAAUAAAUUAUGAUAUUAUUUCUUACUUAUUUUUUACCUCAAUCAAUUCAUCACUUUCCUAUUCAAAUUAUCGUCAAAACAAAACUAUAUGAUUAGUCUAAAUUCUCAUAAAAAGAUUUGCACCAAAAGGUAGAUUACAUAUAAAAUCCUUAUUUUUCACUUUUGCUGGUAUAUAAUGAUGUUGGGAAAGUAAUGCAAAUUGAGCUGCAGUUAAAUGUGGACAAGGAUUUAAAAAAAAAAAGAAAGCAAAACAAUGUUUUGAAUAGUAGAAUAUAGAAACCAAUCCAUAUCUAUUUGAUUUGUAAGUAUAAUUUAAUUCUAUUAGUAUCUUGGAUUAAGUAGUAAUUGAUAUCAUUUUUCUAUUAUGAAAAUGUCAAAAAGAUUUAGAGUCAAGAAGGUCAAUGUCCAUAUGCAUGUGGGAUGCUCUCUAUUAUACUUAUACCUUGUUUGAUAAACAAAAAUUUAACAUCUAAAUUAAUUAAGUGGCAAUGAAUUUUUUAGGCAAAACUUGCUCUCAAAAUUAAGUGAUAAGCUAUUUACUUAUCACUAAAUGUGAUAUGUACUCAGAUGUAUUAGAUUUAAUGCUUAACAAUUCAAUAAUUUAAUGGACUCAGACUUCAAAUUUCAGAUUUCAAACUUUAGUUUCCAGACUUCAAUUUUAUCAAAUGCACACUCAGUCACACAAUGCUUUAUGCAUUUGAUCAGUCAUGGUUAAUUUUGGAUGAGAUUCAAUUAGAUUUAAGUUCUAAGAAAAAAAAACAAAAAUAGACUAAUAUUUUUGCUAGGUUUUUGCUUUCAUGGCUGUCGUUGAGCAAUCCGCUGGAGGGCAUCCUAAAUUUUCUACCAAAUUCUUUUCUCAGCUAUUUUCUGAUUCUUCUCCCUCUCCUAUCUCUUUGAAAACUCCUUCUUUACAUAGGGGAAAAUUGGCGGUUUGCUUCACCCACGAGGAUGUCUCAAAUUUGGCCGCUUCUUUCAAGUUGGCUUUGAUUGGUAAAUUCUCCCAUAGAUGUUUGAAGAUUGAUGAAGUUUGUAAAUUUUUCGUCUCCGUGGAUCUCCAGAAUGUGGUACAUGUUGGUUAUCUUGAUUCACACCAUGUUCUAUUGUGCUUUGUUUUUGAAGUUGAUUUCCAUCGCAUAUGGACUAGGGGUUUUUGGCACCUUGACAAAUACCCCAUGCAUGUCUUUUGAUGGACUCCAAGGGAAUCUUUGUUGGUCCCGAUUUGGGUCUUCUUGCCUAAUUUCCCUAUUCAUUUCUUCAUUAAACAGAGCUUGUUCUCUAUUGUUUCCUAUAGGAACUACUCUUUUCGUUGAUGCAGCAACGACAUCACUCACGUGCCCUAGUAUUGCUAGGGUUUACGUGAAAGUGGAUGUGUCAAAACCCAUUUGUUCGCAGUUUUGGAUUGGUGUUGAAGAUAGUGGUUUUUGGCAGAUUAUCAAGCCUAAGAAUCCCCCAAAAUAUUGUAAUAGGUGUUGGCAGUUGGGACAUGGUGAGGCAAAUCGUUGUUCGGGGCAAGAAAGUUUAUUCAGUCAACGACCAAGGAAACAAGUGCUAUCCGAGGAUCAAGUUGCUCAGUAGAUUCAAAACCCCCCUUCUGGUUCAAAAGCCAUAGAAGAAAACCUACUUUGCUCUCUUCCAAGGCCUAGGGUUGUUUCAGUCUCAAAUAUUGAUUAUCAACAAAAUAUUCAGGGAGUAUCUCUUCCACUAGUGAUAGAUUCGGUUGUGGUUUCCUCAGAGGUUCUCACAUUGAUAUAGAGCCCAGGGAUGGUUUGUGUGAUAGCCCCACUUUCCCCAAAGGUGAACCAGAGGGGGUCAGUAGACCGCCUGCCCAACUCUUGUCAAGACUCACUACAAUCCAUAGCAAGAAUUACUUGAAAUUUCUAAACUAACCAAAAUAAUAUUCAUUACACCCCAAAAUAACAUUUACAUACAUCCAAAAGCUAUUACAUAGGUUUGCGUACAAAAGAUUCAUCAUUCGGCAUCUAUCUUAAUUACAACCCAAAAAUAUAUACACUACAAUCAUUUCUACUAAAAUAAAAACUUAAAGUCUCUCAAAACAUUCCAAUAGUAUUCUUGAACACUCUAGGAUCCGAAUCUUGUUAAGGAAAACAAAACGUGGAAUGAGCUUAAGCCUAGUGAGCAUUCCAGGUAAACAGGCAAAAUAAGAGAAUAACACAAUUAAUUUAACAUGUAAGCACAUUUUCCCAAGUAAUAUAGGUUCAGGUAAAUCGAUACUGAACUUUAGAAAUUGGCAGUGCAGCAAUUAAUUGUAAUAGGAAUCUUUCAAUGUAAAGUAAUUGAUAAACAUUAACAUUUAUGCAUGCAUUCAAUCAUUCGUUCAAAUAAAUACAAGGAUGAACAAUAAUUUAAAUAUUAAAAGGAUACGGAGCUCACAGGGAGUAACUUUCACCUUAUAACUGCCAAUAAACAAUCCCCUACAUUUUACCACCUUAUAACCUCCGAACUCCCACCUUAUAUCCUCCGAAAGAUCAACAAUCCCCUCAUUUAACAUUCACCUUAUGCCCUCUGAUAAAUCAACAAUCCCCUCAUUUAAUAUUAAACAUUCAACAUUGUAUUCAAGGCCUUUCGACAACGAGUUUUGAGCUUUGCACUUAACAUUGGUAAGUUAUAAACCCAAAGCUGUCCAGCUGAUCCGACCUCGCAAAUGGCGAGUCUCGGAUAGGGUGCCAGCAUAGGGUUAAACUCAGUUCAGCCGAUGUGAUAAAGUACACAUCGGCCUAUAUUCUUGCACAUUUAUCACACAUUCAUGCAAUGUGAACAUGCGCUCAUAGCAAAUUAACAAGACAAGAAAAUCACAAAAGUCAUUCACUUAUUCUCAUGUCAUUCAAAGGAGAGCACUUAAGCAAAUAAUAGUAUUUUCUCAAGUCAUGCAUAAUCAAAUAACAUGCAUUGGAACACUCACCAAUCAAUUGCAACCCUUCACUUUAACCCUGGUUUGUCCUCUUGAACUCUCUUGAGUCCUGUGGUCAUAUAUUAUAUUAAAAGACUAGCAAUACAAAGUCAAAAUACAUGAAGAAAUUGGGGUUUCAAAACUUCAUUUAGAAAAUGCAUCAAUUUACAAGUUUUAUACCCGUAUAACCUAUCAAAAUAUAAUAUUUUCUUGUUGCAAUCGAGGAGAAAACCUCAUGUGCUUACUAAAUCAACGUUGCAAAAGUCAUUUGGAGCACAAGAGCAUCGAUUAUAGUCAAACGUAUGAAGAAAUUAGAACAAGACUUUCAAAAUACAAAGUUGGAAAUUGUCUGACCUAAAAUGAUUUGAAGAAAUUCAUUUCCUUUCAUUUAAACCUCAAUUCCACUCAUAAAAUCAAGCUCAAAAUGGUUUAACAACUCCAACUUAUAGUUGGAAAUGGAAGCAAGAACAAGUUUAGAAAACAAAAUUUUCUCCAGUUUUGCGCGGCACUAUUUGAAAAAUCGGAUCGCAAGCUUCUUAAGUCCAAAAUUUAUAAAUUUUAUACCGUUGGAAAAUAGACUCAAAGAACUACAAUUUUUUAGAAUACAUAUUUGUAAGAUUCUAUCCAUAAAUCAGUCAAAUUCCAGUCUCAAAUUGUUGCUUCAUCAAGUAGAAAAACAGAGCAGGUGUGAAAAUUCAGUCAACUUUGGAAAAUCAUAGAUAUUCAUAGGAAUUGAUAAAAUUCUAAAAUUUUCACGGUAGAAUGCACUCCGAAUCUAGUUUCAAACGCAAUAAGAAGAACUCAAUUUGGAUUUUUCUACACCAAGAUAUAAUAGAUUUUUCAAGACUGCUCAGAGUCUCCUGCAGGAAAAUUUUCAGCAACACUUCUCCUUAUUUUCUUAACUUUUCCAUCCAAACUCAACACCAAUAUUUAUAGCAAUCCAACCUCAAACACAACCACAAGUUAUAGGAUCUAAAGUACACUUGUUUAAGGCCACAAAACCAUCCAAUAUAGCCAAUUUCUAGCUCAAGAAUCAACCACAACAAAGCUGGAAUUUAUAACCCUAGGCUGAAAUUUUCCUCUACAAUUGAAAUUUUCUAUAAUCAAGCCAAAAUAACAUAUAAAAGCUGGCAAAUUCACAUAGCAAAACUACUAGAUCAUGGCCAAGCUCAAACCAUCAUACCAAAGCUGAAAUUUAACCAUCAAAGCUGAAAUCUCCAAACCACUACACAAACUAUAAAAUUUUCCAUAGAAUCCACCAAAAAUCAAGCCUUGAAUCCACUCAAAUGCAAGUUAAAAGAGAAGAAAUGGUUUCAAGCCAUGAUUACCUUUAAUCCUAUGAAGAAGAGCAACCAAAGCUUUCUUUUUUCCCCAAAUUCCUCCACCCAAGGUCUUCCUCCUUCUUUAAAGUUACUUCCUAUGGAUUGGAUUGCAAACUUAUGGUGAAUCUCAAGAUUCAAGCAAGAAUUUCUAGGUUGGAAAUGGAGUUUAUUUUCUCCCCUUUUCUUCUCCAAGAGGUCGGCCAAGAGGAAAGAAAGGGAAUGAAAUUUUUGGUCAAUUUUUUUUCCAAGAUGAAGACUAAAACUAGUCUUAGUCAAAGAUAAAGGUCCAAAGCCUUAAUGACAAAUGGCAUCCAAGGAUUAAUCCUCAUCCUAUUGUCUUCAAAUCACUAAAAUAUCUAGUCAACCUCUAAUUAUCCCUUAACACCUUAUAAAAUAAUAUCCGUUUGUACAAUACUCGUUCUAAUCUUCAAAAAUUUAUCGCACGUACCUCACUAGUGGGUCCUACUUCCAUAAUGCAUUAGGAACUUAACAUGUACAAACUUAUACAAGAAAAAUGAUUUAAAAAUUUGACUCACUUGUAAAAAUAUCUAGGAAAUGAAUGUAAUAUGGUAAAGUAAUGAAAAUGUUUUCGAAAAAAUCUAAUAAAAUAAGAAAAUUUUUCAGAUCCUCACAGUUUGUGCACUGAGACUGCUUUGAGUGCUGGGGAGCAGUCUUGAUUGCGUAAUUUGGAAAGCCAGGCUGAAUUGCAGAUUGUACUUCCACCUGCCAUUCCUUCUGUUGCAUCCACUUUGAUAUCUCCAACUGCUUCUAUUUUGGCUGGAGAAGUUGUUGCUGCUAUUACUAAUUUGUCAGGUUGUUAAUCAUGAUAUAGUGAUCUCGACAUCUCUUGCCUUGCACAAGGACGUUGAGUCUGUUGAGUAUGUGGAUGGGGAGUUAGUUUCUAAUUCUGACGAAGAAUGCAAUGAUUUUCAAGAGAGGAAGGGUAACUUAUCGGCAACUGAAGCUGAAUGUUUUGGACUAGAUGCUUAUAAUUUGGAUCCCAUAGUGGGUUUUUCAAUGCAAAAGGAUGGGGAUGUGGAUGGUACUUUCCAACCGGUCACGCAAGAGAAGAAGAAGGGGGUACGGGUUAUAGCUCCAUCGGAUUGCGAGCUUCGUUCAAAGGUAAAUUUGUGACGGCCCCACCUUCUCCUAGGGCGUACCCUAGGGUUCCGCGGGUCGCCUGCCCAACUCUUGCCGGGACUCACCUUUACAUCUCAAGUAAAAAUGAAUGAAAAUAAGACCACUAGAACAAGUGUAACAAUAGUUCCAAACUUAAAACAUAUACUUAUAUACAUUUCCAUCUCAAAAGUAGUACAAAUCCAAAUGUACAAAGGUUCUCAAUUCUUCAUACAACCAACCCUUGCCAAGCGCUAGGGCGAGAACCAUUACACAAAUUCAGAAGAACUAGAUUGGGUUAGUCUGUACAGAUCUCUCGUCCUUGCACGCAUCCCCUGUUAAGGAAAACAAAACUAAUAGAAUGAGCUACAAGCUCAGUGAGGUCCCAGACACAUAAUCAACUUAAACAAGGACAUUUAUCAUGUAAUAACAAGUAAUCCAGAAAACAUUUACAAUAUGAAGCAAUGAUAACACAUUCAUUAAAAGGAUACAUGCUCACAUGGAGCCUUUCGUUCUUUCAUUCACCUUUCAUUUCCUUAUUCCUCCAAUCAUUUUAAAAUGCAUUUUGUAAGUGAAAACCCCUCCAUUGACAUUGUCACUCUUUCAUUCAUUUCAUUUUACCCAUUCUGGACAUUGGCCAGACUCCACCCGAUAACGUGGUAAUACUCGAGUAUACCAAACUUUCACCCAGGGUCACCAAAUCGUCUGACCGAGUCCGCUUCUGGCUCGAGUCGACAGGUAACAAAGGGCAAUGGUCCAGUUUAGCCAAACGGCUUACAUUCAUGUGCAACUAGCAUUAAUCAUGUAAUCAUUGAAAAUUUCACAUUCGUUUAGGUCGAGUGCGAUAAAGUACACACUCGCCUAGAAAAUUUCAUUUUAACAGUCAUUGAUAACAUUGAACAUUUAAUCAUACAUCCACAACAAGCCACAUAGUCAAUGAAAACAUAACAUACAAAGAACACUCACCUAUUUAAACAAAAGAACGUCCAAAGUAUUCUUUCGGGUGAUACCCUCAAUCACCAAAGAACCCUAAUAUAAUCAAAAGAACACAUUAUGCUUCAACCAUCAAAGAUUUAAGUGAUUCAAAGAAAAUUCGAAUACGUACUAGUACAAAGUAUAAAUAUGGUUUUGGUAGUGAAAAUAGUACAUUUAAACCAAAGGACAUAAGUAAAAUAUUUGUAAAACUUAUGGUCACUCGUAAAACUUUAAAAUCUCCAUUUGAGUCGAAAUGACAAAGAAAACGUAUUUCUAUUAGUUAUAAAUUUCAUUUUUUCAAGGGUACAAGUUUCGGCCGAAUUCUAACUUAUAUACCUCGAUAAAAGAAGACACAAAUAUCCUAGAUGGUUCAAGUGGUAUUCAUCCUCAAGCCUUACUCGAGUCGCAAGUAUAUCUACCUAACCCUCGAGCGUAAAUUUGGGCAGUACGCCCUUUGUAUUUACCUAUUUUCCAGCCAUUUAUGGCUUCAUUCUUUUCCUCAAUCAGUCCCAAAGUCACACACAAAAUAAUCUCAUUUCAAUAGCCAUUCAAUAGGCUCAAUGUCAUACAAGUACAAAAUCAAGCUAGGAACAUGUCCGGAAAUGAAGUUAAGUCAUAAAACAAAAGAUAGAUUUGACGCCGCUUAGCGUAUCGGACACAACCGAAGCUACGCUUAUCGGACUGGUGUGCAAUUUAUACCGUUUCGAAACUAAGAUAAAGGGCUACAACUUUGAUGAAGACCACUCAGUCCAGUUCGUAAUGUAUCCAGGUCAAAAUUUCAAAGUACAGAACCAGAAUCUCACAAUCAGGCUAGUUAACCGCACUAUGCGUAAACGACCAUAACUCAGGCUACCGAAGUCCGAUUGAGGGGUUUUUAGGGCUGUUGGAAAGCUAAGACAUAGCACUACAACUUUUGUGUUUGGCCAAAUGCUAAUUCAGUACGGAUCAGGGUGAACAAACGCGGUCAGAUUGGUGAAAUGUCAAAACUGUCCGUAAAAACUACACCUAUGGCAGUCAAGGGUAUUUUUAUCAUUUCACAUGAUAUAGUGCUCAGAAUGAGCUGAAUUUUACAGGCAGCUAUAAAACAUCAUUUGCUACAACUUUCAUGUUUUAAACUAAGGUUGAUUCGGCCUCCAUCAUGGCCGAAUGAUACUGGGCAGAACAGGAUAAUACUACCAAAUGAAAAUCCUAAGCUGGAAUUUAUGCAAACCAACUAGAAAUUUCUUUAGGCAAAGUAAACUAGCACCUAAACACAAGAUUUUGCAUACAUCAAAACUAGUAAAUCAUGACCAACCAUUACACUUCACAUAUGGACAGAAAAUUCAUGAUAAAAAUUGAAAAUUUCCAUAAUAUCACUUCCAACCAUGAAAUAUUGCAUAAAACUACCAAAGUUGCCUCCAUAAGGCACUAAUUUGCAAUUAUUUGAAAUGGAGAAAGGUUCUUAGCAUAAAUACCUUAAAGCUUAGGCAAAGAGGCUAUCCACACCUUUCUCUUCCCAAAUCAUUCCACAAAAACCCUUAAGCUUCCCUAGAGACCAACUUCUAUGGAGUAUUUUGCAAUAUUAUCGGUGAAAUCUCAAGAUCCAAGCAUGGAUUGGAGGAUGAAGUUGAGGUUUUCUUUCUCUCUUUCCUAGCUAAGGAGUUCGGCCAAGAGGAAGAAAGGAAUGAAGAAAUUUUGUCCAAUUUUUUUCCAAGAUAAAGAUCAAGAAAAGUCUUGGUCAAAAGUCAAAGUCCAAUGGUUUUGUGACAAAUGGUCCUUUAGGGUUUCAAUCCUAUCCUUUUGUCUACCAAUGGUAAUUUAUCUAGCUAACUUCUAAUUGUCUCCUAGCACAUUGUACAGUAAUAACACUUAGCACAAAAAUCACUUAAUCACAAAAUCACUUAAUCACCAAAAUUUUAUCGCACUAGCGGGUCCCACGUCUAUAAUGUGAUUCAAAUUUAACGUACACUAACUUAUACUAGGAAAAUGAUUUAAAACUGUACUUACUUAUAAAAAUGCAUAGAAAAUUUAAUAUUUUAAAGGCAAUUAUAAAAAUAUAGGCAAAAAUAAAAUAAUGCCUAGAAAAUGUGAAAAUUUUCGGGUUCUCACAAAAUUCAUCCAAGAACUCUUUCCCAGUCUUGUCCAAUGAAUAAAUUAUUUUUUGUUUGGAAUAUUAGGGGCAUCUCUAGAGGCCCUAACUUCCGUAGAUUGAAGAAGUUGAUUCGAUUGCAUAAGCUUCACUUGGUGGCUAUUUGUUAGUCGAAAGUUUCAGUGGAUGAAUUGCAUAAUUUUCAAAUUCGUCUAGGUAUAGAUUCAGCUCUUGCUAAUAAUGAUGGGUCCGUUUGGGUUUUUUUCAAUAGUUUGGUGACAUUUAAUGUUGUUGGGUAGUCUGGGCAACAUGUAUCUUUGUAUGUUUAGUGCUAUUUAUUUCCUUCCUCGUUUAUCAUGUCUUUUGUUCAUGCUAGUUGCUCUGAUGACGAUCGUCUGAUUUUAUGGAAUUUGUUGUUAGUUGAUAAUCUCUCUAAUGUUCCUUGCAUUGUAGGGGGGAGGGGGAGCAGAUUUUAAUGUUAUCGUUGAUUCGGAGGAAAAAAGAAGGGGUUGCCUUUUUCAUCCAUUGGAGGGAGUGGAUUUUUUGUCAUAUAUGUCAGAGGCUGGUUUGUUUGAUAUUGGUUCCAUAGGCUCCCAUUUUACAUGGUGUAAUAAUCGCUAGGGACGUGCACGCAUUUGGAAGAGAUUAGACAGAUUUUUAUGUAAUUAGUCUACGUGUUUGUUGAAUUUGUCUUUUGAGGUGCAGCAUUGGGAGAGAGAUCCUUCUUAUUACUCUCCUUUAUUGCUUUCAGCGACUACACCCCUUGAUAACAAACCUAAAGCCUUUUGCUUUCUUAAUUUCUGGACAUCUAAUUCUAAUUUCGAGGGCAUUGGAGUAGUUCUUUUUUGGUACUUCCUUUGGGCAGCGAAGCUACGUAGUUUGAAGAACGUAUUGCAGUUGUGGUCCAAGACAACCUAUGGUGACAUUUUUCAAGCUGUUAAAGACGCGGAGGCAGCUCCUGUACAAGCUGAGGCUAGGUUUGAUUUAGGAGAUGUUUUUUUUCUGAGCUUAAUGAGGUGAGGGCCAAGCUUCGCUAUACUUCGAGCAUUGAGGAAAAGUUAUGGCAGCAAAAGGCUAGAAUUAAGUGGCUGCAUGAUGGGGACAAGAAUACUAAAUUUUUCCACUCAACUAUUGCAGAACGCCGAAGCAGAUCGGUUAUUCACCGUAUCAAGAACUCGGGUGAAACUUGGAUUUUGACAGGUUGGAGUCUGUACAAUAAUAAAUACCUACUCAAGAAAAAAAUAUAACUUUAAUAUAUAGCGAUUAGCAAGGUCAAAUCUACAGGGAUUGGAGAUAAUUUAUUUCUUUUCUAGCUGAGAUAAAAAGGGGGGGGUUUUGGAGAAACUUGAAAUUAAUCAACUAAAUUCAGUAAAAUCAAAUUAACACAAAUAAAAUAAAAUUGAAUCAAUAAUAGCAAAACUCUAGCCAGAGAAAUAACUGUCAGACAAAGUUCAUAAACCGAUCAUAGAUGCAAGGAUGAAUUCAAUUAUUUAUUGAUAAAUUAGUUCUAGCAUAAAAGCCAACUCUUUCUUAUUUUGUCGAAUAGUUAAGGUACGACCGUUGAUUAUUUCUCUAAUCAAGAAACAACCUUAGAUAUGACCAUAGAAGUUUAAUUUCCCAAUUGAAUGAGUAAUUAGAAGAGUCUAAUUCUAACUAAUCAACACGCUACGGGGGUCUCUUUAAGUUAGAUUAUUCGUUCCCCUAACACAAACCUAGUUAUGCCAGUUGCUUCUAGGAUUAAAACAAUCUAACAAUUACGGAUUAAAUCGCUUCAAUUAACAAUCGACUAUCAAGUCAAUUCAAAUACCGGGCCCUUUGAUAUUCGAAUAACAUAAUAGUCAUAAAUACCAAAAAACAAAUAGAUACUAACAAAUAAAAAAAUAGUGUAAUUGAUUCGGUCUCACAGUUUGUAGAACAAAGUCUUCAAGCUAUCCUCAAGCUAGAAAAAGAAUUUAGCUACGCAUCCUUGAGGGAAAUCCGCAAGACUCCAUUGAUAACAAUUGCGUAUCAUUUUUUUUUUCUCUAAAACUAACGAAAGACGAGAAGGUAAGAAAAAAGUGGCGGUAUACUUCAAAGAGUCCUCCCAAAAUUGUUGUUGGGCAACUCCUAAUCAAAUGGAGAUCCGACUUUCCUAAUUCCUCUCGUUUCCUACAUAACCUCAACUACUAAUAAUAAGAUAUGUUCUCCAAAAUAGAAAAAGGAAACUACUAAAGAUAAUAUUUCAAGUUUCUUAAUCCAAUACUAAGACUAAUAAUGAAAAUUAAGGUCUUCAAAAUCUUCCUCCAAAAACUGCCUUGAAUUCGAUUCAGAUUUGGAAAUCGAUCCCUAACGCAUCACCAUCAAAGUAAUUUUUAGAAUGCUGAAAAAUUGCUCCAUUUAAUCACGUCUCACAUAAUUCCCUACAAUUAACACAAUUAACCAAAUAUAAUGUUUGAUGGUGACGGGUUUAUAAUGUUUGAUGGUGACUUUAACAAAAAAUCGAGAGCAUUAAAAGUUCAAGAAGAUUACAGAUCCAUAGUGUAAUUUCUUAAGAAAAAUUAGACAGUCAACUUUUGUGAUUAUUCAACGGACUGCAGGUUUUCAAACUCAAAACCUUUGUUAUUACAGAUACCUUCGUGCCUAAGGUCCUAAACAUGUCAACAGAAACUCACAGACAACCAAACAAGAUUCACAAACAUCUUCAUAAUUUAAGAUUGUGCCAAGCCUAUUUGUCCCAUUUCAACCCCGGUAGACAGGAAUGAGUUAUCUGAAUUCCUAACAGAGCAAUUUGCUCGAAUUUCACCUCGAGUCCCAGUCAAUACGUUCAGCU
rnacentral:lncRNA from 1 species